CUUUUUCCCUUUUCUUGUAAUUAUAGUUUCAGAGAUGAGAGAUAUCUCUGCUAGGGUUUUUUCAAGAAUGCUCAUGUUCUUCUCCCAUCUCUGCAGCUACCACUGUCGCUAUUGCUGUCUUCACUCAGCACUGCCACCACCACUUCUACUGCCGCCACACCACACUUUCCGGUCCUCUGCGUUGUUGCGUUUUGUCUCUGCUCCUGCGAACUACUCAGAGAAAGACAUCAAAACUACUGCUUUUGAUAAUUCUCAAUGACACAGUGGAUCCUUUUAUGGUGUUGAUAACUCUAGUUAUAAUAGAACUUACUAUCAGGAGUCGAUAUAUGCUCAAGCACCGCAUGGAAUUUCUGGUGUUCAAUAUUUUGAAAACUAUCAACAGCAAUUUGAUCCUAGAUAUGGAAGAGGAUAUGGUGUUCUUACACCACACCAGCAAUCUCAACAGCCUAAUUUUCUUUGUCCCACCACAGACUGCUCAGAUUGUGAGGGAGACCAAAUGUUAUUGAAUACAUUUUUGACUUUUUUGGUACCACUAUCUUUUGUCAAAUUUGGUUUGAAGCAUUAGAAGAUUUCAUAGAGUGAUCAUUGCCUCGGCAUUUACAGGAUUUUCUGGUUUUGAAGUAUGGAAGCAAAAAAGGAAAGAAGUUUUGUAUCUUUAUAAGUGCAAGAUGAAAGCAAGAGUUAUUAUUGAACCAACAAUAGAUAAUUGUAUUCUAAAUAUAAAGCUCUAGAGUAUUUCAAGUAAAAUGGUCUAGAAAAAUAAGUUUAUUCAUAAUUGCUUUAUGAAUUUGAAGCUGACUGGCACAGAAUGACUUUUACUAUGUUGGUUGCCUAAAAUUGAAAGUGGUGGAAAUGCUCUAGGCAUUGAAGUAGCAGAGAAGGGUGCAAUUAGUUUUGAAAAAUUGGAGUAAUAUCUUGGUGUAAUAAUUGUGUGACUUUAUUUUAUGAUUGAUAUUGUACUUUGUAAUUUUAUAUGAUUAUUUGUAUUAAGUUA